AGCGCCUCGAGUGGUACCCACGAAUAUUGGGCCUAAAGCGUCCGUAGCCGGACUUACAAGUCCGCUGUGAAAUGUUGGAGCUCAACUCUAACGCGUGCAGUGGAUACUAUUAGUCUUGGGAAUGGGGGAGGGGUCGGAGUACUUCCAGGGUAGGGGUAAAAUCCGUUGAGCCUGGAAGGACUACCAGUGGCGAAGGCGCCGAUCCAAAACAUGUCCGACGGUGAGGGACGAAAGCUGGGGGAGCGAACGG
rnacentral:rRNA from 1 species